rnacentral:rRNA from 1 species
UGAGGAAUAUUGGUCAAUGGGCGUAAGCCUGAACCAGCCAAGUCGCGUGGGGGAUGAAGGUUCUAUGGAUCGUAAACCUCUUUUAUAAGGGAAUAAAGUGCGGGACGUGUCCCGUUUUGUAUGUACCUUAUGAAUAAGGAUCGGCUAACUCCGUGCCAGCAGCCGCGGUAAUACGGAGGAUCCGAGCGUUAUCCGGAUUUAUUGGGUUUAAAGGGUGCGUAGGCGGCGAGUUAAGUCAGCGGUAAAAGCCCGGGGCUCAACCCCGGCCCGCCGUUGAAACUGGCUGGCUUGAGUUGGGGAAAGGCAGGCGGAAUGCGCGGUGUAGCGGUGAAAUGCAUAGAUAUCGCGCAGAACCCCGAUUGCGAAGGCAGCCUGCCGGCUCCACACUGACGCUGAGGCACGAAAGCGUGGGUAUCGAACA